rnacentral:rRNA from 1 species
GUCGUAAAUAUUAAAUUACACCCACAAGCGCCCGGGAACUACGAGCCUCAGCUUAAAACCCAAAGGACUUGACGGUGUCCCAUCCCACUAGAGGAGCCUGUCCUGUAAUCGAUGGUCCCCGAUUCACCUAACCUUUCUUUGCCCAUCAGCCUGUAUACCUCCGUCGUAAACUUACCAUAUGAAUGACACACAGUCUAGUUCAAAGAUCUAUUCAUCUAUACGUCAGGUCAAGGUGCAGCCUAUGGAAAGGUAGAGAUGGGCUACAGUUUCUAAUCUAGAACAAACGAAGUACUGCAUGAAACACAGUCAUGAAGGAGGAUUUAGUAGUAAAGAGAAACUAGUGAGUUCUCUUUAACACGGCCCUGGGACACGUACACACCGCCCGUCGCCCUCUUUAACGAUCAUCAACCCGGUUUCUAACCCAAUAGAUAGUAAAAAAGAGGUAAGUCGUAACAUGGUAAGUGUACUGGAAAGUGCACUUGGAUCAA